rnacentral:rRNA from 1 species
UACUAUGCUAAUUAUAAACCUUGACACAUCCGCCAGAGUACUACGAGCCACAGCUUAAAACUCAAAGGACUUGGCGGUGCUUUAAACCCACCUAGAGGAGCCUGUUCUGUAAUCGAUACCCCCCGAUAAACCUCACCGCACUUAGCCACUCAUCCUAUAUACCACCGUCCUCGCCCACCCUUUAAAGGAACAACAAUGGGCAAAGUAAUAAACAUUAAAACGUCAGGUCAAGGUGUAGCCCAUAAUGCGGGAAGAAAUGGGCUACAUUUUCUUAUCAGAAAAUACGGAUGACCAAAUGAAAUACCCCCAGAAGGAGGAUUUAGUAGUAAAGAGAAAAAAGAGUCUCUUAAUAAGGCAAUAAAGCGCGC